rnacentral:misc_RNA from 1 species
AAAUCUUUAAGUUUUAAUAUGUGUAAGCAACUUUUUUCUCGAUAAUUAUUCUAUGUUUACUGGUUUUAAAUUAUGAACGCCAUUGUUUAGUUUGAUUUAUGCUUAGAUUCUGACUGCAUUGAUACUACCUUUGGUAUCCCAACUUGUUGCCGUGAUAAGUGGUCAUUUGAAGCACAUCCACCCAUUGCUUUUUUUAGAAUGUGUUUUGUCUUCGUGAUUGAUGCUUUCCAAUUUCUUUAAAUAAGGCAAAUCCGUAAAUUUCCGUAAAUGAAAAUCAUUUACUGUCAUAUCUCAAAAUUUUAGGUUUACUAUGUGUAUAAAUUAUUUAGUAUUACUUUUUCUUAUCUCCUUAUUGUUCUUUUCUUCUUUGUAAACAAUACAUCAUAUAAUUCCUACAAAGGGAUAUGUUUGCUAGGAUGAAAUUUCCAUUCUUAAGCCUGGUAUGCGGUAAGGUGUCUCUACAGUGGUGAUAUAAACAACUUCCGCAGGGUCUAGUCUUUCAGGUGCACUGAGCUGUUUUAUAUCCAAAACUUAUGUCGGAUAGAGCCUUUCCAUCCUUUUUGUUGGCCACCUGAUUACAAUCCUGUUCCACAUGAUAAGCUUUUCCCCAGGAUCAAAUAUUUCCGUCUGCAGUGCAGACUGAAUGUGAAACCAUAAAUAGCCAUUCCAGUUGUCUAGGGCAGAAAUAUAUGAAAUAUUCUUCUUCUGUCAGCUCACUCUUUGUGUAGGCAAUCCUAUAUUGGAUUUACAACCGCAUCUAUAAGUCUUGUCUUUCAU